rnacentral:rRNA from 1 species
UACGAGGGGGGCGAGCGUUGUUCGGAAUUAUUGGGCGUAAAGGGUGCGUAGGCGGCUUGGUAAGUCGGAUGUGAAACCUCCAGGCUCAACCUGGAGUCGCCAUCCCGAUACUGCCAUGGCUAGAGUCCGGUAGGGGCCCACGGAAUUCCUGGUGUAGCGGUGAAAUGCGCAGAUAUCAGGAGGAACACCGAUGGCGAAGGCAGUGGGCUGGGCCGGCACUGACGCUGAGGAGCGAAAGCGUGGGGAGCGAACAGG